UACGUAGGUGGCGAGCGUUGUCCGGAAUUACUGGGUGUAAAGGGCGUGUAGGCGGGAUAGCAAGUCAGAUGUGAAAUUCCACGGCUUAACUGUGGGGCUGCAUCUGAAACUGCUGUUCUUGAGUGCUGGAGAGGAAAGCGGAAUUCCUAGUGUAGCGGUGAAAUGCGUAGAUAUUAGGAGGAACACCAGUGGCGAAGGCGGCUUUCUGGACAGUAACUGACGCUGAGGCGCGAAAGCGUGGGGAGCAAACAGG
rnacentral:rRNA from 1 species